CAGACAGUCGGUGCUACGAUGCGAUCACACACCGUUCGGCGUGAUUUUAAUAAUAAGGUAGUGUGGAAGAUGGAUAUCAUUGACGACAAAGUGUCAGUGGGUUAUAUGUUUGCGAGUUUCAGCACCGAUUACAGAUCAUGAAACUGACCUUUAACUAGAGCACACGCAGUUGUGGAGAUUCCUGCCGUGCUCAAUGACUGUAAAUAAAGGAGCCGUUUCGGUAGCAGCAGCCGAAGAAGAUGGAUGACUACAUGAAUGACGAUGACAUCCCAUUCGACGUCCGCAAUGGCGUCGACUACCCUCUCAUCGAUCAUCCAGACAAGGGCCAGGUCCUGACCACCGCCCUGGCUGCUGUCCUGCAUACCGCAGCGGCCCAGCUCUGCAAUGUCACCCGUUGCGGCAACGUCACCGACCUCAGCUCCCUAGACCCGGAUUUCUCCGGCGAUGACCCCGACCUAGACCCGUAUUCUGGCAACCGAACCGUGGAAGAAGUCUUAGCCGUCGUUGUUCCCAUACUCUUCGGUACCAUCGCCAUCGUCGGCUUCUUCGGCAACGCCCUCGUCGUUAUGGUUGUGCUGUGUAACCCACAGAUGCGCUCGACAACCAACCUCCUAAUCAUCAACCUGGCGAUGGCUGAUCUACUAUUCAUAGUCUUCUGCGUACCCUUCACUGGAUGGGACUACACACUAAGUUACUGGCCGUUCGGUGACGUCUGGUGUAGGAUUGUACAAUAUCUUGUCAUUGUCUGCGCGUACGCCAGCAUCUACACUCUCGUCCUGAUGUCCUUGGACCGCUUCCUGGCCGUGGUUCAUCCCAUAACGUCUAUGUCCAUCAGGACAGAGCGAAACGCGUACAUCGCCAUCUGCCUCACGUGGAUUGUAAUCCUCCUGGCCUGCGUGCCAGCACUCUUCGCCCAUGGAAUGAUGACGCAUGGAAGGGACUCCGGAUGCACGUUUCGAUCUGACCUUGGAUAUAACUGGGCAGCGUUUCAGAUAUGUUUCUUCUUGUCUUCGUACGUAGUGCCGUUGUCGUUGACUUUCGUCCUGUACGUCCUCAUGCUCAAGAGACUGUGGUUCGGCGUCGCACCCGGUGGAAGGGUCAGUGCCGACAGUGUGCGAUCGAAGAAGCGGGUAACAAGACUAGUGGUUGUGGUUGUGGUGGUGUUCGCUGUGUGUUGGUGUCCCGUUCAAGUAGUGUUGGUGCUGAAGAGUGUGAACGCCUAUGGAAAGAUGAAUCCGCCCAGGAUUGUGAUCCAGAUCGCGUCUCAGAUCCUUGCCUACACAAACUCGUGCGUGAAUCCGUUCUUAUACGCGUUUCUUUCCGAAAACUUUCGGAAGAGUUUCAGAAAGAUCAUACUGUGCAACUCGCGUGUUCUCGGGUCUGGUCCAGCAAGGACAAGGGAUGACUUCGAACGUACGGAGAGGGAAACGAUGGCUGGGAACUGCUCUGCUGGGAAAUCGACAAAAAUAUCCAAUGAUAUCCUAUAACAACCGUCGGGAGCGUAAUACACAACGUAGCCAGACGGGCCAUCGGUGCCUUGGCUUUCGCAAAACAGCUGGCCAGAUAAUAGGUUGUUGCUUCCACAGAUAGAAUUCAGGACUGAAACAAACAUUCCUAAUGCAGAUAAGUAUGUUGACGUAAUGCGGGAUUUAUUGAGUAACAGCAUACGUGACGUACGCUUCAUUAUAAAAAAAAAUAAAUACGCCAGUCCUGGAUUAGGGUACAUUCGCCAUCAGCAUAUGGUUACAGUUCUCAAGGGUGACAGAUUUGACUCGACUUUCUUCCAGUGCGGACUUGCAUGAGACAUUUCGCUGAACGGGGGGGAGUAGACUCAGUUUCAGUUUCGGGGCUAACUUCAUCACUUAGCCAACGGCAUCUAGUGUAGAAAAAGGACCACACAGUGGUGACAGGGCCGUUGUCACCGAGCUAUUUGCCUGCCGAUAUGGUGGCAUUCUGCUCGGAGGGAUAAUGCGCCCUGGGCCAGCUUCACACGAAGCUCAUCCGGCAUUUGCCUUACAAAAGCUGAGGGAAAACCCACGGAGAAUGCCCACGGUCAGCGCUGUCGAUAUAUUUCCAAAUGAGGAAGUUCGCACAUCGUCUGCUUCAUGAAUCCCUGAAGACGGACUAUAGGGCAGAUAAAAUCGCGGUCGUCGUUGGAACGUUAAGAUGGGGCCUUGUUUCGCCUAUAGAUGGCGUUGACUGCAUGUAAGCGCGCACCAACGUACCCGCCAACGUCCGAAGCCCCAAAUGACAUUCUUGUAUAAAACACCGUCAUCAUCGGGAGCUACGUACACUCCGUCAUUGAACUUGAACAUUGCGUACACACAUGCCUACACCAGCAAUGUUUCGACAUCUCUUAACGUCGUCAUCCGGGAAGUAACGUGUCUGGCACGUCAUUUCCGAUCGUUCCCCCCACGUACUCUUGCGAACAAGUGACAGAGUGAGUGUUGCUUCUGGCGUCUUCGUCGCGCUCUACGUGACCUGCCUUCGAGUUCCUUUCGUUCUCCCUCUGAACAUUUUUUCCAACUCUCUUCACCUUUCAACACGACCUUUGGCGAAAUCACCCGUGCAGUGCGGGAAAGUUGACGCACAAUGUGUCUACAGCUCGUAGAUGAGAUGAGCAACUGCAACACGGCAGAAGGCCAAUACGGCGCUGCAUGACUUCGACACAGUUGGCAGUACAUGUUUUAAUACUUGUUCGAUGAUUACGUGCAUUUCAGGUGAUCUGGAAAGCGACAAAGGCUAAGAAGGAAUUGGCAAAGUAUACACUUAAAGAGGGAUGUACUUUACCUCCUUUUUCUUGCCACAUAUAUCACUCCCUUUUUGGAGAGUACAAUUACUCCCAAAAAAGGAGUCUCUUCACUCCCUUUAGGCAGUGGGGCUACGCUCCAACCCCCCCACUGGAGAGUAAUACUACCCUGCGGCAGGGAGAAAGGGUGCUAUGCUACUCCCUUGAGGGAGGGAGAAGACUCCUUCGUUGAGAGUAAUUGUACUCUCCAAAAUGGAGUGAUAUAUGUGGCAAGAAAGAGGAGGUAAAGUACAUUCCCUUUUUUAAGAGUGUAAGAUGAAUUUCACGAGCGGCUCCCUCUGGAGGCAGUUGCCUAUUCAACGCACUCGUCGGGCAGGUUUCGCCUAUUGGCUGCUGCAGACGUUACUACAUCGUAUAGAGGUGUGGCGAAUUCAAAACUAUAAUCGUUUUCAGCGUACGAAAGGCAUCACGGAUGCUGUAGACUAGCUUUGUGACAUAUCCUUGUUACGUUGAACUAUGAAUAUAAUUAUUGAGACAUAAAUAAGGACAGAAAAAAAUGAGUAAUACAAUGUUUCACGCGCUAUGUUGCCUUUUGGUGGUUGGAAAAAAACAGUUGCUGCGUACGAAAGAUGAAAAUGUUUGCGAAGGAUGAAAAGUGCAUUUCGCCUGUGUAAAUGAUGUCAUGCGUGUUACUCGAGACGGACGGUAGCCCACUCCAAAGUGUGACGGACGUAUUCUUAAACGAUCCUCGACCUUCCCUUGACUGCAUUCAAUGCAGGAAGGAAGCGUUCCUCCAGUUGAGGAGCCUUUGGAAUUCAAGGAAACACAGGCGAAGGAUUUCCUCUGCUCAGAGGGUGCUUCGAGUGAAGGUCGAUUUUUGAAGCACAAAACUGGCCUCGAGGAGCAGGUCAAGUGGGGGCUUCAGUCGAGGGCCGUUUAAGAAUACGGCCCUGAGUGUAUCGCAUCUGUUGGGUGAGUCUUAGCAUCGGUGCCGUUACCACAUUAUUAGGAAUGGAACAGUACAAGGCCAUGUUUGCUAGCCUGCGUGUUUUACUUUAAGUCUAUCGGGGAAAAGCUAUUACCGAGUUCAAAAGACGUACACAAAACAAAACAAAAAAUAAAAGCGACGCACAGGUACAGCAGUCGCGAUAAUUACAAAUUGUUUGGUGGCCGACGUCGUCAGCAGCCACUUUUAUGGUCACAGCUAUAUGUCGACAUUUGCAUUGACGUCUCACCUGGCUCGGCAAAAAAGUGCAGGUCGAGCACGGCAGGGAAUUACCCGUGAUUUUCAUCUGCGCGUAAGAGGUGAAACCCAUAUCUGCUGCUUUUAUUCCUUCUUUAGCCUCUCUGGCAGGUAUUUUGAGGGGGUGCUGUAACAUAUUUGAGGGGCAUCGAUGGGGUGCUGGGAAAAUCACUCGAACAGGGCAACCCCCCUUUGUGACAAACAUACCGCGAAACGCCAUCAACAGCAGCUCAUUGAAUGGACUUCUGCUCGCCUGCUCGUCCUCACUGCACGUAACGCAGCGCAGGGAGCGGCGUUGACAACGCGAAAACGCAACGGCAUCGAUUGUCCUCUCGAGGAACUGAGUGCACCUAUUUAGUGCCUCCGCUGCUUUCUAUGUAUAAAGCACAAUAUCUGUGUCCCAGCCUACGGUGAACCAUUCUUCAAGAAACGUACUCUUACAUGUCCUGAGCAUGUGGCACGUCGACACGUCCUGUUCAUUUCGCGGUGAGUCUAAUGCUGUUCAUAUACAAAGCGGGCUUAUACCAAUCGGUCACAGGGUCGAGUUUGAAAGCCUCUUCGUGUAACCAUUACUCCUCUCGGGAAUUUGUUGCCAAGAUUCCUGUAUAUUUUCUGCCAUUUUCGUGUCUACCGUUUUAUCUUCUAGUUUAGAGUCGUACCGGUCCGAUACAUAAGCACCCGUACCGGGGUAACAGCUGGCAUCCCUUGUAAUACAUAGGGGCUCUUGCAAGGGAUAUGAAGGCAACUUACGGUACAGAGGACAGCUCGUCUCAAAGACUGUCGUAAGAUCUUUUUGUGCCGGUUUACUCAAAACGACUCGUGUCCGAUUUAAAUAAGACGACAUAGCAGCAAGUCCACUCGUUCCUUACUUUCCUGCACCGUUAGUUUGACAGGAUAUUUUUACUUGGACUAAGACUAUGUUUUUUUUCGUUCACGAUAUACAGAGACCACUCUAUCCGACCAUACCUGUACAUAGUUAAUUCUUACCGCUUCGUCCGAAUCCGUGAUACCGACACGGCUUGCGACAAAUUAUUGAAUUGUUAUCAAUGGAACUGUGCGCAGUUCAUGAUCGUUACCUCACCGACCGUUUAAUGUUUUUCUGGGGGCGACAGUGUUAUCGUUGGUUGUCAUUUGCAAUGUUAAAAAGUGUACGAUAAUAAAGCUGACUCUGUUCG